rnacentral:tRNA from 1 species
GAGGUGAGUAAAUAGAUUUUCUAUGUACAAUUUCGGCUUGUAAAGAUAUUUUCACUUUA